GCUGGGUGUGGUGGUGCUUGCCUGUAAUCCCAGCAGCUAUGGAGGCUGAGAUAGGAGGAUCAUGAGUUCAAAGCCUCAGCAGUGGAGAGGCACUAAGCAACUCAGAAAGACCUGUCUCUA
rnacentral:sRNA from 1 species